GUCUUCAUCGACAUCUCUCGCUCGCUGCUCCCUUUGUUGUUGUAGUGUCCUCCUUUUGUUCAGUAAUAAUUGGAGUAAUAAUCGCAAAAUGAUAUUUUAUUGAAAUGGUUAAUACCUGUAGCAAUGUCAUGUACUAGUUAAAUGGAUUGAAUAAGGAUUUUGGACGUUCUUCUGCUAAAACUCAGCCUAGCUAGGAUAGGAUAGCCGCUAGGCCUAGGCCUAGGCCUAUUAUAUUGCCAUUGGAAAAAAAGGAGAAGAGUCCGCACCAUGCCAAGGUCUAUGCACAGUCAGUAUUGUGAUUGACAUUGGCCAUGGUUUACUUAUAGAAAAGGAUCCAUGAUAGGGAAGAAAAGCAACGCACAUGUGGAACAUCGGUAGAGAAAGAGCGUUUGGAUCCCAUCUGAAUUACUGCCAUAACAGAUUUCACUGAUAAGAAGUAUCUUGAGGCAUCAACCACUCUUUUGAGGCAGUCUCUGUCAAACAGAAUAAAGAAAAUGAACAAGCCUAAAAAUUGGGAAUACCAUGUAUGCAUUUUUGUUUUUAAAUUUUGUUAUUUAACUUUAAUUCCAAACUUCGUUCUAGUGAUAUUAGAUUUGUGGUAGUAUUUUAUUAUAUUUGAUGUUUCAGUGUGUAGGCCGUCUUAAAGUUAGGCUCAGAAAAGUUGGUUUUUUUUUUUAUGUUGUAGAACUGAUUUUUUUUUAAACCCAAAAAGAAUAUUUAAUGAAAAACUUUGAAGCGGUUAAUGAGAUUCAGAUUUUUUAAUAUUUAAAAACUGGGGGAAAAGA